rnacentral:rRNA from 1 species
GGAGUACGGCCGCAAGGUUAAAACUCAAAUGAAUUGACGGGGGCCCGCACAAGCGGUGGAGCAUGUGGUUUAAUUCGAUGCAACGCGAAGAACCUUACCUACUCUUGACAUCCACAGAAGACCUUAGAGAUAAGGUUGUGCCUUCGGGAACUGUGAGACAGGUGCUGCAUGGCUGUCGUCAGCUCGUGUUGUGAAAUGUUGGGUUAAGUCCCGCAACGAGCGCAACCCUUAUCCUUUGUUGCCAGCGCGUAAUGGCGGGAACUCAAAGGAGACUGCCGGUGACAAACCGGAGGAAGGUGGGGAUGACGUCAAGUCAUCAUGGCCCUUACGAGUAGGGCUACACACGUGCUACAAUGGCGCAUACAAAGAGAAGCGACCUCGCGAGAGCCAGCGGACCUCACAAAGUGCGUCGUAGUCCGGAUUGGAGUCUGCAACUCGACUCCAUGAAGUCGGAAUCGCUAGUAAUCGUGGAUCAGAAUGCCACGGUGAAUACGUUCCCGGGCCUUGUACACACCGCCCGUCACACCAUGGGAGUGGGUUGCAAAAGAAGUAGGUAGCUUAACCUUCGGGAGGGCGCUUACCACUUUGUGAUUCAUGACUGGGGUGAAGUCGUAACAAGGUAACCGUAGGGGAACCUGCGGUUGGAUCACCUCCUUACC